CUAACGAACCGGAAGUUAGGGUUUGAAACGGAAGCGCGCCAGAGAGCGGAAGGUCGCUUCCCUUGUUUCUCUCCGGGCAACGAUGUUACAUAGACGUUGCCAGGGACUUCCUCACCGCGACGAGGGAACCAGGCCUUUCCGAGAAUGUGACCGCUGUACGGAUGCCUGCGAGUCUUGGAUGGCUUCCGUCCCUCGCCCGUUCUGCGCAUGCGUCCGCUGGCGGGUUUUUGAGUUGGGCUGUGGCUUUCCUGGUUCUUUGUCUAGAGAGAACAGGCUUUUGUCUGAGCCCACUGACAUUUCCAGGUUGUCAGUAUCUCUAGCACCCCAACUAUGAAGUAAAAAGAAAACUCAGAGAACUCACUGCCUUGUCUUUCCAGGGCUUCCCUGGUGGCACAGUGGUUAAGAAUCUGCCUGCCGAUGCAGGGGAUAUGGGUUCAAGCCCUGGUCCAGGAAGAUCCCUCAUGCCACGGAGCAACUAAGCCUGUGCACCACAACUACUGAGCCUGCAUGUAGAGCCCGCAAGCCACAACUACUGAACCCAUGUGCCACAACUACUGAAGCCCUCGUGCCUAGAGCCCAUGCUCUGCAACAAGAGAAGCCACCGCAAUGAGAAGCCUGUGCACCACAGCGAAGAGUAGCCCCCGCUCACUCCAACUAGAGAAAGCCCGCGUGCAGCAGCGAAAACCCAAUGCAGCCAAAUAUAAAUAAAUAAGUAUAUUUAUUUUAAAAAUAUAUAUCUAGGGGACUUCCCUGGCAGUCCAGUGGUUAAGACUUUGCCUUCCAAUGUAGGGGGUGCAGGUUUGAUCCCUGGUCGGGGAGCUAAGAUCCCACAUCCCUCGAGGCUGAAAAAACAGAAAACAGAAGCAAUAUUGUAACAAAUUCAAUAAAGACUUUAAAAAAUACUG